rnacentral:sRNA from 1 species
GAUGUUGAAUUUGGAAAUUCGAGGGGACGCUGGUGGACGGAUUGGGUGCAAGGAGUUGGUGUUGAUGGAGGAGCAGGACGCCAGAGUCCCAGCCCUGGAACCAUUCAGAGUGGAGCAGGCACCACCUGUAAUCUACUAUGUCCCUGACUUCAUCUCCAAAGAAGAGGAGGAGUAUUUGCUUCGACAGGUUUUUAAUGCCCCAAAGCCAAAGUGGACCCAGCUCUCUGGGAGAAAGUUACAGAACUGGGGUGGGCUUCCUCAUCCCCGGGGGAUGGUUCCUGAGCGGCUGCCCCCAUGGCUCCAGCGCUACGUGGACAAAGUGUCAGACCUCAGCCUCUUUGGAGGCCUCCCAGCUAACCAUGUCCUCGUGAACCAGUAUCUGCCUGGGGAGGGCAUCAUGGUAACCACACACCCUCGGCCAGUGUCCCCCCACUCAGACUUCUGAGCUGUGCUGGGGCAGGGGACCCUGUGCCCACCCUCACUCAUUAGGCAGCCACAUCUCCCAAACAGGCAUUCACCUCCCUGUCCCUGGCUUGGGAAGCCCCACUUUGACCCA